AAAAAAUCAACAACGUGGUUUUCACUUUUGAUACGUAAAGAAAGCUGUCAAAUCUCACAAAUAAACCAUGGCGAAAACAAAACAGAAAGAUAAACAGAAGGACAAUAUCAACAGAAGUUCCCACAGCAUGAAUCCAGAUCGCCCCAAAGGUGCAGGAGGAAACAACAUGCGAGAUAAAACUACAAUUAAACGACUCCAGAUGUACAGAAAUUUUAAGGCAAAGAGGGACAAGAAUGGGAAGAUAAUUAAAGCAGCUCCAUUUCAAUCCAAAUUGACUCCAGGGAGUAUGGCCAGGGUUGAACCAAAUAGGAGAUGGUUUGGCAAUACUAGAGUUAUAACCCAAAAUGCUCUGCAAACAUUUCAAGAGGAGAUGGCUAAAGUCAAGAAAGAUCCCUACAAAGUGAUCAUGAGACAGACAAAGCUUCCAAUCACUCUGCUGAAUGAGACAGCCAAGUAUGCAAAAGUACAUCUUCUUGACACUGAGGGAUUUGGAACAACAUUUGGUAAAAAAGCCCAAAGAAAGAAACCCAAAUUAAAGACUGCAGAUAUGCAGGCACUUGUUGAUCAUGCCAUGUCAGCAAGUGACGGAUACUCAGCUGAAAAAGAUCAUGACCUUGUCACUGAAGCACCAGAGUUCAAGGACGAACAGCCAGAGGUCAUAUUCAAGGCCGGUCAGUCAAAAAGAGUUUGGGGAGAACUAUAUAAGGUGAUUGAUUCCUCGGACGUCGUGAUUCAGGUCCUUGACGCUAGGGAUCCUUUAGGCACCCGCUGUUACCAGAUAGAGAGAUACAUGAAGAAGGAGAAACCUCACAAACACCUGAUCUUUGUGCUGAAUAAAGUGGACCUGAUCCCUGUCUGGGUCACGCAAAAAUGGGUGGCCAUUUUGUCCCCUGAGUAUCCAACAAUGGCCUUCCAUGCUAGCAUCACAAAUCCAUUUGGAAAGGGAGCUCUCAUCAAUUUACUGAGGCAAUUUAGUCAGCUACAUACAGACAAGAAGCAGAUUAGUGUUGGGUUUAUUGGAUAUCCCAAUGUUGGGAAAAGUUCCAUCAUCAACAGCUUACGAGCUAAAAAAGUCUGUAAAGUAGCGCCAAUUGCAGGGGAAACAAAGGUAUGUUUAGCAUGUACCAAACUAAUAAUGGUCAGCUACUAUCAAUAUUUUAUUUGUCCAUUUUACAAUUGAUUGACAGAUAAGAAUAACUUUACAUCUGUAGCUCAGGUAUUUAAAACAUUUUCUAUCAUUCCCUAUUAGUUUGAGAAAAUAUGAAAUAAUUUUUACUCUAUGGUUUUACAUUGAUCUACCAGUAUUUGUUUGUUUUGUGAAAAACGUCAUGUAUGAGAGUUUUGAAGGAUAGAAAUUAAAUGUACAGCUUAAUCCUGCUCACCUGCUUUGUCCUCUGUAACUAAAGGUGUGGCAGUAUGUGACCCUGAUGAGGAGGAUUUACCUGGUGGACUGCCCAGGUGUGGUGUACCCCCUUGCUGCUACCCCCACAGAGUCCGUCCUCAAAGGAGUGGUAAGGGUAGAGCAAGUGAAAAGUCCAGAGGACUACAUACCAGCCCUGCUAGAGAGAGUGAAACCCGACUACAUAAAGAGCACAUACAAAGUGCAGGACUGGCCCAACGCUGAAAACUUCUUAGAGCAGAUUGCUAGAAAAUCAGGAAAGCUUCUCAAGGGUGGUGAGCCAGAUCUAGGGACAGUGGCUAAAAUGGUGCUAAAUGAUUGGCAGAGAGGGAAGAUUCCAUACUUUGUAAAACCACCCGGGUGUGAGAAUGAAGGUUCAAAGUCAAAGGAAGAUGAGAAGCCUGAAAACAAAGAUGAAGCAGCCAAAUUAAUAACAGAAGAGGAAGAAAACACUGAAGACUCAGAGAAAAAGACCUUACCCAAGGUUCAACAGAAUCUUACCAAAAUCAAUGUGGAACCUGAAUUCUUGGAGGAAGAUAUCAAGAAAGUGGAGGAACUAGAAGGUAAAGAUGAUUCUGACCUAGAGGCCGAGGCCAAAGACAGUGAGGGUGAGGAGGAAAAGGAGGGAGAGGAAAAGGUCAGGUCAAGGACAAAGAAAGUAAAGAAGGGGAGGGUGAAGGAGAUGGAGUGCUGUGUUGAUGAGGUAACCUUGACAACAGGACAAGAGGGCAUUGAGAGUGUGUCGGAGCGACUGAAGCCGAGUGAGGAAGGAACUGAGGAUGUGGAGGAGAGGAAAGGAAGGAAGCGGAAAGUGGCAGACGUGGAGAAGACACAAGUUGCUCGCUCCACCAGUGGAAAAUUUACUGUAGUGGAAGACAGUGGUCAACAGAAGAAAAAGAAGACAGUGAAUAAGAAACCCCAGAAACAGAAUGAUGAUUCUGAAGAAAAUGAUUCUCCUCAACCAAAACUUUCAAGCAAACAGAAACGGAGAUUAGAAAGAGAUGCACGCACAAAGAAAAUCGGAACCCACUUUUAUACCACCACAAAUGUGAAGAAUAAGCGAAGAUAAUGAAGUCACCUCUAAUUUGUUAUUGUUGAUCGAUUAUUUCAAGAAUCCAAUAAAUAUAUCAAAUAUUU
rnacentral:misc_RNA from 1 species